AUGGAUGUUGAAGAUUUGCUGGAAACCCCCCUGCAGAAGAAGGAAAAACAGAGGGCACCCCUGUGGCCCAGCGUCAUCUGCGAGCUGCAGGCUGGGGUGAGGCUGCGCAAGGCCACCGAGCGACUGCAGCGCCCUGCCCCGCUCAACGAGCAUGCCCACUCCCCCUAUGAACGACUUCUGGAUGACAUUCAGCACAGGAGGUACAACCUUCGGAAGGUGAUCGUCGAGCAAAAAUGCAGGACCCCCUGUGAUGAUGUAGCUGCUCCCAAGCCUCAUCUAAAACCUGUGCUGCAGAGGAAGCUGGGAGAGUGCAUGCCACAGGAGUCCAGGUGGCACCAACAGCUCCUGGCAGAAACAGAACGGCCACAGACACCGCAGCCAUCCACAGCAAGGGAAAGCAGAGGCAGGCCCACAGAAAUGCCUGUGAUGCCUAAAAUCGCCUUGAGAUCUCCAAGUGAUCGUUUCUUAAUGUUUCAAGAUGCCAGUCCAGAGUUUAAAACUGUCAGUGCUGUAGCACAGCAGCUGGGACCAGAAGUUCAGGUAAGGCUUUAA
rnacentral:lncRNA from 1 species